rnacentral:tRNA from 1 species
GCCCCCGUCGUCUAGUCCGGUCAAGGAUGCGAGCCUCUCGAGCUCGAGACCCGGGUUCAAAUCCCGGCGGGGGCA